GAUUUCUUGUGUUUUGUAGUAGCGUUAAACGCGGCGCGGCGUAGACGGCAAUGGUAGUGUUUCGUGUAUUGUUAGAAUUAGUAUUUGGUAAAAUGCGCGUCGCGUAGAGUCAAACGCGACGCGUCGCUUCGUUUCUGGUGUGGGACACGUUUCGCAUAAUGCACGAGCUCGACGCGGCGGAACACCCGUUCCACGUUACGCCACAGCGUGACGUCUUUGACGAUCGGGUCGAUUUAUUUUCCGAGACGUUGAUCGCAUCACAGGUGUGGAUGACGGGGGGAGAGGGAAGGUGUACCGGAAGCGGGUCGCGGUGCGUGAGAUCCGAGUGACGGGUGUCACUCGCCUAUUGGACGGAACGCUACGUAACGCGAACGUUUCCGGGACGUUCGUAGCACACACAUCGGGGAUUUAGAAAAGGGGAAACACGCGACCUUAGCGAGUGUCGUCCAUUUAUUUCUCUCGCCAUUGUUUUUAGGACGUAACCAACCGACUGAGACAAUACUAUCAGUAAAAAUGGCACCCGAGACACUACACCUCCACCCCUGCCGAGUGCCGAUCGAAAACGAGGUUUCGACGAGGUAGAUCUAGUCGACCUCAUCUCCUACCAGACAGAGAUCAACAGGUUGGCUGAUGAAGUAAGACGUCUUCGUAACGAAGGAGACACUUGCAUACGGCUCGUCCACCCCUCUCACAAACAGGUUGUGACGGAACAGGAACUGCAACAGGAACAUCGGAAUCAGUCGACGAGGCAUCGAACGACAGCACGAAAUUCGAAGUACUGCGGAUAGACAGAAGGGGUUAUGGGGAAGUGAAGAGAGCCUGUCCAGAGCUAGAAAAGUGAAGAUUUUAAAAGAAAAUUUCAGCACGUUGAUAUGCUGAGUUGGAAAUGGAGCAUGAAAACAAAGUACAGAAAGCCUUGAGGAUGAGAACGUGACAGACAGAUACGGAAGAGAAAUCGAAAAUGGCCGACUUGGCAGCAGAUAAGCAAGUGUGAGUAUAUUACGGUUUAUAGAUAAUGUUACGGAUAUACUCGACAUUGCAAAAAGGGUAAGGGAGAAAAUGACGACCGAAACACUGCAAUUUUGUAAUUAAAAACGUUUCUUUCCAAGGAGCAACAGUUAAGAAUGUAAAGAAGGUGUGGAUGCUGCUAGUCUCCAUCAACUACACACUAAAGAAGUAUCGAAGAUCUCUACGCUUCAAGAAUCCGUCAAAGAAAUUAGGAAUGGAAAGAAUGGUGGACAGGAAACAUGAAAAGUCUGGUGUAGUAUCCUUUGCAGCACUCAGGAGUCAGAAAUUGGAUGUGAUUCUUCCUCUCCAUUAAGUAUUGGAUUUCAUUCAUGGAAUGGCAAAAAGGAUGUCACUGCAAGGAGAGAGAACAGUAAGAAAUCAAAGGCAAAGGAUGGAUAUUAUCUAUGUAAAAAACAACUCAAAGCACAGUGCCAGAAAGCCAAUCAAGUAGAGAAACAAAUGAGCCCCAAGAAGCCUCAAUUCAACCUUUUCCAGCCAGUAAACUGAAGUGUCACAGGCUUCAAAGAUCAACCAUUCGCCUCUCCAAUGACUUGGACAAAUCUCCAGCAUUGGUCAUUCAUACUAUUCUCUCUUCUCUGCCCACCUUCACCCCAAUUCUGAUGACGGAUGUCGGUGUUUCCAACAUAUCCUGAGGGAUACACUGGUAAUGUGCUGUGAGCCUUCUAAGAAAUUGUUAGAGGAAAUAUUUAUGUAUCUAUAAUUUACUAAUAAAAAUUAUAAUUUUUAUACUGUU
rnacentral:lncRNA from 1 species